ensembl:lncRNA
CCCAUGGACGCUGCCCGGGCUGCUCAUGACGCAGCCGCCCAGCACUCCUUGCCAGGCACACAGCAGCAGGAGGUGACCACGAAGUGCGGCACAGAGAGGAGGCGGCCCCCAGCCUGGGACCUCCAAGGCUGGUUCAAUCCAGGCCACGGGCAGGCUCAAGGCUCGUGGGCUAGACGUGCAGGGAGCUGGCAGGACGAGGCUCUGCACUGGCCUCUGGGUUCCAAAGCCAGCACCAAGCCCCGCCUCUCCUGAGUGGGGUGCGGGCCACGGGAGGUGAGCAUGAAGGCAGCCUACCACGCUGCAGAUGGAAGCACCGUCACCCACAGCAAGGACACUGCGUCUUCGUGACAGUCUGAACCAGAACCGGGCACAGCUGAGGUAAGCUGAGCCCUGUCCACCCCAGGCAAUGAGGGCAUGGCCCCCGCCCGGAACUUGGGGGACACCAAGCAGCCACACCACAAGCACCAUUAGGGAAAACUCAGGCACAGGGGACGAGAGGCCCUGUGGAGGGGUGCCUGCUGCCUCACGGGCUGCUCAGAACCUCUGGAGGGGACGGAAGGCAAGAUAGCACGACCGUAAAACGUACUGAAGGACGGAAAACUGAAAACUAGAAGUGACGUUCCCAGCAGAGAAGCGACGCGGGUAAGUGUUCCCACCCCAGGACACCAGACCCUGUGCACAGCAUCACAAGCUCUCCCGCACCACUGAGUACCUCCCGGGUCACCCGGCACCUGUACCCUGAGGGCGAACGGCAGGGCCCAGGAUGGCCCCUGGUGCAUGCGCUUGGCCUGCCGCCUCCUCUGCAAACCCCCGAAGGAGUGGCCAGAGCAGGGCCUCAGGACACUUACCUGGUCCCACUGCCCUGACACUGCCCCCUUACGGGCCUGCCCUCCAUAAAUGCCACCACUGCCCCCAAGUCCUCCCGUCCAAGCACUCACCAUGGCUGCCCAUGUGAGCGGAGGAGAAGCCGCUGAGCGUGUUGCGGCCGGAUGCAUCCGCGUACCGCGGCAUGGAGCUGACUACGGCCUGCAGAUACUUCUCCUGUUCCAGGCUGCUGGAGUCCGCCUGGGACUGGCCUGGCGGGGAGGCGUAGGUGGGGGCGGGGCCCUGGGGCGGGGCGAGGGGCAGGGCGAGGGUGCCGGGGUGGGGCAGGGUCAUAGCAGGCGCGGGGCGCCUACCUGGAGAAGGCGCAUUCUGGGCCUUGAAGAGACCUACGACACCCUUGCCGUGCAGGCCUCCAGAGCGCAGCAACACAGCCUUGGAGCGCCCGCUGCGCCAGCAGACCACCGGAAAGCGGUUCUGGCGGUAGCAGCGGGAGACGCGCUGCAGAGCGUUGUCCUGGACGCUCUGGGGCACGAUCAACAGCCCGGGGUAGCUGCGAGGAGGCGGCGGCGGCGGGUGAGGGCGGCGGCAGCCACUGUGGACCCGCAGCCAGCGCCCCGGGGCCGCGCCAGGGCUCACCUGCGGCAGAUGGCGUACAUGCGGUUCACUGGGGAGAUCCGGAAGGGCUCAGACUUGGCUCGGCUCAGGCUACUGNNNNNNNNNNNNNNNNNNNNNNNNNNNNNNNNNNNNNNNNNNNNNNNNUCCACCAGGCUGCUCAUGGUCAUGCGGUCCGAAGGCUUCAGGGCUGACGACGGCGUCAGCGUGCUGGGCUCCAGCUCCUCCGAAACUGGGGCAGACCAGGCACACGUGGCUCGUCACUCACAGACCUCCCAGGUUCCGGGACAGGGUCCUGGGGGCGGGAGAGCCCGGCCACCACGAUGA